rnacentral:rRNA from 1 species
AUUGAACGCUGGCGGCAUGCCUUACACAUGCAAGUCGAACGGCAGCACGGGUGCUUGCACCUGGUGGCGAGUGGCGAACGGGUGAGUAACAUAUCGGAACGUACCCUAUUGUGGGGGAUAACGCAGCGAAAGCUGUGCUAAUACCGCAUAAUCCCUAAGGGGGAAAGCGGGGGACCGUAAGGCCUCGCGCAAUUAGAGCGGCCGAUACCUGAUUAGCUAGUUGGUGAGGUAAAGGCUCACCAAGGCAACGAUCAGUAGCUGGUCUGAGAGGACGAUCAGCCACACUGGGACUGAGACACGGCCCAGACUCCUACGGGAGGCAGCAGUGGGGAAUUUUGGACAAUGGGGGCAACCCUGAUCCAGCAAUGCCGCGUGAGUGAAGAAGGCCUUCGGGUUGUAAAGCUCUUCUGUCAGGGAAGAAACAGCAGCUCUAACACAGUAUGCGAAUGACGGUACCUGAAGAAUAAGCACCGGCUAACUACGUGCCAGCAGCCGCCGUAA